rnacentral:rRNA from 1 species
UACGGAGGGUGCAAACGUUGCUCGGAAUCAUUGGGCGUAAAGCGCACGUAGGCGGCUCGACAAGUCGGGUGUGAAAGCCCUCGGCUCAACCGAGGAAGUGCAUCCGAAACUAUCGGGCUUGAGUACUGGAGAGGAUGACGGAAUUCCCGGUGUAGAGGUGAAAUUCGUAGAUAUCGGGAGGAACACCAGCGGCGAAGGCGGUCAUCUGGACAGAUACUGACGCUGAGGUGCGAAAGCGUGGGGAGCAAAC